rnacentral:rRNA from 1 species
GAUGAACGCUGGCGGCGUGCCUAAUACAUGCAAGUCGAGCGAACAGACGAUGAUCUUGCUCCUCUCACGUUAGCCGCGGACGGGUGAGUAACACGUGUAUAACCUACUUAUAAGACUGAUAUCACUUCGGGAAACCGGCGCUAAUACCGGAUGAUAUAUUGAACCGCAUGGUUCAAUAGUAAAAGACGGUUUUGCUGUCACUUCUAGAUGCAUCUGCGCCGCAUUAGCUAGUUGUUAAGUUAACGGCCUACCAAGGCAACGAUGCGUAGACGACCUGACAGACGGAUCGGCCACACGGGAAGUGGACCGGGCUCAAGACUCCUACGGUAGGCAGCAGUAUGGUAUCGUCCGCAAUGGGCGAGAGCAUUACGGAGCGACGCGGCGUGAGUGAUGAAGGUGUUGGGAUCGUAAAACUCUGUUAUUAGUGAAGAACCACUGUGGAAGUAACUAUGCACGUCUUGACGGUAACUAAUAAGAAAGCCACGGCUAACUACGUG